rnacentral:misc_RNA from 1 species
CUGGCGGGUACGGUUACGGCGACGCUGUCAACGGAUUCGGGCAGCCGCAGCUGAAGGAGUAUGAUCAGAGGAUGCUGGUGGAGGUCUACAAGUCUAUUCUUGUUCAGGGGCACCCGUUCGCGGCGGCAAAUGCCGGCGCGGUUGCUGUACAUCUGUAGUGGCGGUGUUGGCGACGGUGACGGCGGCGGUGGUAGGUGAUUCGUAUCUUCUGUGAUUUGAUGUUUGGG